GACGAACGCUGGCGGCGUGCUUAACACAUGCAAGUCGAACGGUAAGGCUCCAGCUUGCUGGGGUACACGAGUGGCGAACGGGUGAGUAACACGUGGGUGACCUGCCCUGCACUUCGGGAUAAGCCUGGGAAACUGGGUCUAAUACCGGAUAGGACCGCACCGUGAGGGUGUGGUGGAAAGUUUUUUCGGUGUGGGAUGGGCCCGCGGCCUAUCAGCUUGUUGGUGGGGUAAUGGCCUACCAAGGCGGCGACGGGUAGCCGGCCUGAGAGGGUGGACGGCCACAUUGGGACUGAGACACGGCCCAGACUCCUACGGGAGGCAGCAGUGGGGAAUAUUGCACAAUGGGCGGAAGCCUGAUGCAGCGACGCCGCGAGGGGGAUGACGGCCUUCGGGUUGUAAACUCCUUUCACCACCGACGAAGGGUUUCUGACGGUAGAUGGAGAAGAAGCACCGGCUAACUACGUGCCAGCAGCCGCGGUAAUACGUAGGGUGCGAGCGUUGUCCGGAAUUACUGGGCGUAAAGAGCUCGUAGGUGGUUUGUCGCGUCGUCUGUGAAAUUCCGGGGCUUAACUCCGGGCGUGCAGGCGAUACGGGCAUAACUUGAGUACUGUAGGGGAGACUGGAAUUCCUGGUGUAGCGGUGAAAUGCGCAGAUAUCAGGAGGAACACCGGUGGCGAAGGCGGGUCUCUGGGCAGUAACUGACGCUGAGGAGCGAAAGCAUGGGGAGCGGACAGGAUUAGAUACCCUGGUAGUCCAUGCCGUAAACGGUGGGCGCUAGGUGUGGGUUUCCUUCCACGGGAUCCGUGCCGUAGCUAACGCAUUAAGCGCCCCGCCUGGGGAGUACGGCCGCAAGGCUAAAACUCAAAGGAAUUGACGGGGGCCCGCACAAGCGGCGGAGCAUGUGGAUUAAUUCGAUGCAACGCGAAGAACCUUACCUGGGCUUGACAUAUACAGGAUCGCGCCAGAGAUGGUGUUUCCCUUGUGGCUUGUAUACAGGUGGUGCAUGGUUGUCGUCAGCUCGUGUCGUGAGAUGUUGGGUUAAGUCCCGCAACGAGCGCAACCCUUGUCUUAUGUUGCCAGCACGUUGUGGUGGGGACUCGUAAGAAACUGCCGGGGUUAACUCGGAGGAAGGUGGGGAUGACGUCAAAUCAUCAUGCCCCUUAUGUCCAGGGCUUCACACAUGCUACAAUGGUCGGUACAGUGGGUUGCCAGUCCGUGAGGGCGAGCUAAUCCCGCAAAGCCGGUCUCAGUUCGGAUCGGGGUCUGCAACUCGACCCCGGGAAGUCGGAGUCGCUAGUAAUCGCAGAUCAGCAACGCUGCGGUGAAUACGUUCCCGGGCCU
rnacentral:rRNA from 1 species